rnacentral:rRNA from 1 species
AUGAAGGGGGUUCGAAAGGGGGGUAGUAACGGUUAGGUUCCCCAAACCCAAAGAACUUGGCGGCAGCCUACCCAACUAGAGGAGCCUGCCCCGUAACCGAUACCACCCGUUAAUUUGACCUUUUGUAUGUAUGUAUACCGCCGUCUAAUCUUUAACUUCUAGGUUAAGGUGCUAAGGUAACCCCCUAAGACAGGUCGAGGUGCAGCGUAUCAGAAGGGGAAGGUGGGCUACAAUUCCAUUGGUAGCAGACCCCUUAAUUAUAGGGGGGGGCAAGAUGGAUUUAGAGGUACCGGGGGGUCAACAUCCCCUCGCGAAUUGGAUUUAGGCCGUGU